UUCUCUUUCAUUUAGCUGUUUCCCUUCAUACUUCAUUGUUUCUUCCAUCUUUUUGUUGUUUUCGUUUGCUCUCUCCCUCUCCCUCUCCCUCUCCCUCUCCCCUCAAGUAGCUAUGCGUAAUGGGUUUGUGCUUAUGGACAUGAAUAUCAAAAACAAAAAUCUCUCUCUAUAAGAAGUUGCUGGAAAAGAUCAUAUCAGGCAUGGUGAGUGUAGGGUUUUCUUUUCAUUUCAUGCUUUCUUCUGCUUUAGAAAUUAUUCAGCUACUUUAUCUCUUGGGUAACUAAUGAACUGUCGAUUCAAGUGAUUGUGUUAGAUUUUUGUUCCAAUUAGUAGCUGGAGAUCUCUUUACACAUGGAUAAGGUUUUCAGUGUUUUCUGUUGCUGCUUCAUGUGGUUGGGGACGUGGUGGGACUUAUUAUCCGUCUUCCUUCUUCAAGGAGAGAAAAAGAUUAGCUUCUUGAGAUUGCACGAUUUAACUGUAGGAAAAUACGAAUGCUCCACAGUGUUGUGUAAUUAUAUGCACAUAUAGAUGCUAGAUUGUACCUGUGCUUAGCUCAUGAUCUUAGGGCUAGUUUGGUCUUCACCACUCUUUUAAUUUUUCUUUCCAAAAAUACUUCUUUUGAUCUGGUCUUUAUAUAAUUGCGUAUGAAUAAGAUCUUCAUCUGGAGUAUUCUUGAAUGAUAAUUUCUUUAUAUCUUCUCAAGAUUUUACUCACUUUCCGUUUAUCAUCCGUUUGGGUUCAGUUUAUCUCCACCGUCGGGUGUAUAAGCAGGAGGAUUCUUUCGCGAAGUUGAGAUUUUUCCUUCUCUGUUUGGCUUUGAAAUCUGUCCCCCUAUCGGUCCAAUAAGAAAAAAAUGUUGAUCUGAUUAGUACAUCAAUAGAAAAACUUUACACAUGUUGGCUUGCGCCAAAUGAUGAAGCCAGUGAAGUAUUCCUAGGUCUUGAAUCGGCAGUUUCAAGUUUGUGGCGGGUUUUCAUUUUCUUGGAUGUAUUGUCUUUGAAGGGUUCAAAGAUUAUUGAGUUUGAUGAUGUAGAGGCACUUUUUGCUGAUCACGUGUAUUCAUUGCUAGUCGAAUUGUGCAGUGUGUCCUUAUCCUCUUGCCUUGAACACUGACUCUCUGUUUGAUACUUCUCCAUGUUGCCUGGUGGUGCUAAUGCAUGCGUGGAUGUUUAUAUAUUUCUCAGAGCGAAACUUGUGCUUGCUAUAUAUGCACAUUCAUUUGUAGGCUCGGGCCAAAAGCAAAACGCAAGAAUAUCUGAGUGAUGCUGGCUUCAAAGAGAUUUGUGAGAGAGAGCUUUCUUCAGUCCACUCAUGGAUGGAAUAAAGGGGGUUGAAAUAGCUGCCGACUCAUUCAUUCAAUCACACAGUAGAGAACAUGGGGCAAAUUAGUUUGUGCUUUUACUGGUGACUGUGUGAAUGAUGCGGGAGAUACUUUGCACCCCUCUUUUUCUGUGCUUGGACUGAAGGGAGCUCCUUCUCUCUCUUCACUCUGCGAGUGUGUGUAGGUGUGGCCAAGUCGAGAAGCCUAGUGCUGUCUCUGUUGUCAUUUGUUGGAAGUUUCUUUUUAUCAAUAUCUAUCUAGUUGUUGCAUGCAAUGUGUACUCAGAACUCCCGGCAAGAAACUUUUGAAAGUAAUGACCGUUCCACGAGGAAGGACGGAAUGACCGUAGCUAGAGGCAAUGGCUGGUGGUGGCAGAUGAUGGACAAUAGCAAGGGACCGGUGGAGUUGGAGAUGGCUGCCCCUUGGUUGAUGCCUUCAAUCAUUUUAGUUUGGUUUUUCUUAUUGUACAAGUGCAUCGUAGCAUUGUUACAUCGAUUACCUCUAUAGUCAUCUUCUCAUAUGUGAGAGCUGUAAUUUGCUUAUUUUGUCCUUCUCUGCAACACUUCUAAGUUGGUCGGCCUUGAAAUGUACACUGAAGCAAAGGAGGAAAGUAACUGGCGAGCCGAUGUGCCCGUGGCCGUGGGAGUUUACAAUGCUUUUGAAGACUAAGAGCGAGAAGGAGAAAAUUGCACGAAGGAGCUCCUCUUUGAUGUUUGCUUUGCAAAGUUGCUGCUAAAACACUGCUUUUAAGCAUCAAAACUUGCCGAAGGAAAGAGUAAACGGAUUAAUCUGUAUUCUUCGUGAAUUAGCCUGAAGUGAUUACCUUCCGUGAUUACUGAGUAUGAGAACUGAGAAGUCUCAGAUGUAGUUUACUGUCAUUUCAUGUGGUUAUAGUUUUAGAGGAGCUUUUCUGCUUGGGAAGGUAUGGUAUUUCCGGGUUUUUAUCUUUUAUUGCGGAGCAAAGAAACUGGGAAGGAUUAAUAAUCCAAAAUGGAGCUUUCCAACCUCCUGUGUUGUCAUUUACAAAGAGGAUCGAUAUGAGGAUCGAUAUUGUAACCGCACUGCAGCUCGGAGCUAAGCUAACUUAAUGCACUGCCGGUUCCUUUUCCGUUCGUUUGUCGCCACUAAAGCCUAUUUGACAUUGGAACUUG
rnacentral:lncRNA from 1 species